rnacentral:rRNA from 1 species
CAAUAGCGUAUAUUAAAGCUGUUGCGGUUAAAAGCUCGUAGUUGGAUUUCUGUCAAGGACAACUGGUCCGCCCUCCGGGUGAGCACAUAGUUUGGUCUUGACAUCUUGCUGGAAGCUGUUGCUGCACUUGGCUGUGUGGCGCAGUGUUCAGCACUUUCACUUUGAGGAAAUUGGAGUGUUUCAAGCAGGCACAUGCCUUUGGACACAGUAGCAUGGAAUAAUUAGAUUGGGCUUUUGCUCCAAUUUGUCGGUUUCUGGAGCUGAGGUGAGUAUUAAUGGGGAUUGUUGGGGGCAUCCGAAUUUAGCCGUCAGAGGUGAAAUUCUUGGAUCUGCUAAAGACGGACAACUGCGAAAGCGUUUGCCCAGGAUGUUUUCAUUGA